UGUCCAAAGUUGCGACCUUUCCCUUCUUCCAACGACGUCUUCUCUCUCUCCCCUCGUGCGGUUCUCCUCCUCUUGCACUCGGACCUCUUCGCCUGCGCCACUUGGCUUCGAUCCUUCUGCCAUCCUUUCUCCCUGUUGCUUCUCUGUUUUCUGCCGUUUCUCUGCAAAGUUGAUCUUUCCGUCGAUUACGGCCGAGAGAUCGGUUUUCUUAGGACGAAAUCGCAGGAACCGGGCAUGGGCAAGUUCGUGAGGAAGGCCAGGAUCCGCGGAGAAAAGGCGGUCGUGGAGGCCGCACACCCCCAGCCCUCGCUCGGUGCCCGCACCAGGGCAAGAACCUUGACGCUCAAGCGCUUCCACGAGUCCUCGCUGCAGGUCGCCUCCUCCUACCUCCAGCUACGAAGCCGCCGUCUCGAGAAGCACUUCCCCGUGCCGUCCUCUGCCAAGUCCAGGGCCGCCAGUAAGAACAGACAGAGAGCUAACCGUGACCCUAGGAUCAGCACCUACAAGCCGGCCGAAACGGAGGUUAACCCGGUGACUUUGGUCUCGCUGGGCUCGGCGUCGACGAGGAGUCGCUGCUCCAAGGAGGCAACGACGGCAGCUAUUUGCGAGGCCUCGCCGGAGGGUGAUGCUGAGAUUGAAGCUUCGUCUGGGGAGAAUGUUCUUGAAUUCGACAGGUGCAUGAGUGCUAGAGAGACCACACCUUGCAGUUUGAUAAGGGAUUCAGAAACCAUAGUAAGUCUUGGUUCAACAACCUGGCCGACCAAGUCCACUGCUAGCAUUAAAAUGCAGGCAUCAGUUGCCAGUUGCAUCCCAACUGCCUUUGAAUUGGAAGAGCUUUUUUCUGGCCCAGAACAACUCCAACAGAGAAGUUUUAUGGAGAAAUUCAGUAGGAUAGCACUUGUGUGAUUGGGAACUUUGAUCUUCCCUAUACAAAUAUCUGCUGCAGUUUUUAAUGGUGCAGGAACACUGGUACAACUUCGAUGUGGUGAAGGAUCAACCACUGCCUGGCCGCUACGAGUGGGUGAAACUGGAUCCUUAGAAGUUCGCCAGUCAAGCAAACUUUCCUUUUGAAGCUCCGCCCAACCUUUUCACAGCAGGGCAAGCUGCAGUGGUGGUGUUAGCCACCCUUUAAAAAGAAAAAAACAAACAAUGGCACCAAUACUACCCUUUAGUCUAACCUUCGAUAGAACACCGAGCUUAUCAGCUAAAUCCUGGAUGUAGAAAACCUCAACUUUUGGCGCCUCACGUGACAUUUUGUGGGUGUUCAUGUUGGUAGUUUCUUAGCUUCUCCAAAUGUAUCAUAUCCGAAUGGCCCUUUUGCUGUUUAUGGGGGUGUAUAAGUAGUUGCACCUUCGUUUACAUCUCGUGUAUACGAAGUACUGGUGAGAGCGAAAGUUCUCUUUGGUAAUAAAGUGACCUGGCCCCGUUUUCCCCCUUGCUUUUA